GGCUGCUAGCUUGCUCCCUUUUGAGCUUUGUGAUUAUGUGAUUAUGCUAUAAUGGUGAAAUUCUUGGGAGAAACAACCCCUCCUUGGCUGUUUCUCAAGCCUCGAUAAGGGGGUUCCAUUCCUCCAUCCUCUUUGGCUUGUGGUCUAGGGCUGCCUCUAUUGGAGCUACAUGGAGGGAGAAUCGAGAGGGAAGAGGAAGGAGAAAGGGGAAAGGGGUCCCUUCUUGUAGCUACUUGGUUCCCAUACUAAAUUAGCCAACUCCUAGUCUUGCUUAUUAGAGUUGGUAGGAUGGAAAGUGUCAUGAGUGUUGUCUCUUUCACUUAUGAAACUAUGUACUAAUAGCAUCUCCAUUAUCUAUGAAAUCUGUGUUUCCAAAUUGUACUUUUAAAUAAAAACAUAUCUCAUACUUUUAUCCUUGAAUGCAUUUCCUUGCAA